rnacentral:rRNA from 1 species
GACGAACGCUGGCGGCGUGCUUAACACAUGCAAGUCGAACGGAAAGGCCCUGCUUUUGUGGGGUGCUCGAGUGGCGAACGGGUGAGUCACACGUGAGUAACCUGCCCUUGACUUUGGGAUAACUUCAGGAAACUGGGGCUAAUACCGGAUAGGAGCUCCUGCUGCAUGGUGGGGGUUGGAAAGUUUCGGCGGUUGGGGAUGGACUCGCGGCUUAUCAGCUUGUUGGUGGGGUAGUGGCUUACCAAGGCUUUGACGGGUAGCCGGCCUGAGAGGGUGACCGGGCACAAUGGGACUGAGAGAGGGCGCAGACGCCUACGGGGGGCAGCAGUGGGGAAUAUUGCACAAUGGGCGGGAGCCUAAGACGGCGGCGCCGGGUGCGGGAUGACGGCCUGCGGGGUGUAAACCGCUUUCGCCUGUGACGGAGCGUGAGUGACGGUAAUGUAUAAAGAAGCACCGGCUAACUACGUG